rnacentral:rRNA from 1 species
GUGGAUUAGAUACCCGGGUAGUCCACGCGGUAAACGAUGGGUGCUAGGUGUCUCGGGUAUUGACCCCUGAGGUGCCGUAGCUAACGCGUUAAGCACCCCGCCUGGGAAGUACGGUCGCAAGACUAAAACUCAAAGGAAUUGACGGGGGCCCGCACAAGCGGUGGAGCAUGUGGUUUAAUUCGACGCAACGCGCAGAACCUUACCCGGGCUAGAAAAAUGCGGAAGCCUUUGGAAACAGAGGUGUGCUCGUAAGAGAGCCGUAGUCCAGGUGCUGCAUGGCUGUCGUCAACU